GGGCCACGCCCCCGCAGGCGCAGGAGGCCUCCGGUAUCUGUUUGCACAGUUGGGGCGCUUGCUCUGCACCCCACCUCCGGAAGAAAAGCACCACGAGGUCAUCUGUUUACUCUGGGAUUAGCGGCUCCCAGCGGGAGCUCUUUUCCUCGGAGAUGAAAAGAAAGCGGACAAUCUGUCAGCCUGUCCUAGCGAUCGGUUUUUAAUUGGAUUCAACUGGAUAAACGUGGUCCAAGGACUUUUUUCGUGAUGUGGAUCCUCCUGGACCAUUCAGCCACCUUGGUGCCCACCACCUUACGAGGCAGCUAAUUCCAUCGGCCCAACGUUUCUGACUUCUGGAAAGUGCUUCAGUUACCCAGACACUUGCCUGUCUUCCCGCAGCUUCUACGUGUCAACCAGAUUCCGGGCGCCCAGCGCUGUGCGUCCCACAUGCCUGUCGGGGGUGGGAGGGCGGGCUCAGAUCAGACCCACUGGGGUUUGCAUACCAGCCGCUCCCCUUACCAGCUGAGAUACAUGGCCCGCGUGAUUUACCCUUCCUGUGCCUCAGUUCCCUUAUCUGUAAAGCAGGGAUAAUAAGAGUCACUGCAGAAGAUUGUUAUGGGUCCAAGUGAGAUGACACAAGGAAAGCUUUUCACUCAGUGCCCAGCACCACGGGAAUUAUUUGCUGCUCUGGCUAUUUCUUCUUUUGUAUCUGCAGUGACUUGAAAAGAACUGAGGCCUCCCCUCACCUCGCUACCGACUUCUCUUCCCCAGACUGAGCAGAUGCAACCCUUCCUUCAGUUAUCCCCCUGUGGCUGGGUCUUAGACCCCGACACCCAGGUCAGCCUCCCCCAAAUCCCCAAAUGAGAAAACUUCGAGAAGGAGCAGGCCUCUUCUGAUUUAUAGCUGUCCAAAGAUGAGAAGAGCUGUCCCUGGAGGGAGUAAACUCCCCAUCCCUGGGGGUAUUCAAGGUGGAUGACCAUCCAUCAGGAAGGUUACAGAAGGGGUUCCCACACUGAGUGGGAAAUUGAAAUAAAUGGCCUCAAAGAUAGAAGCUCCUCAUGAUGAAGAAACGAGAAAUUCCUCCUUCAUUCAUUCAACCAGUAUUGGUGUUGAGUACCUAGCUAUGACUAGCUCUGUGCUGGCUACUCUCCCGGGUACAGUUCACACUAAGAGAAGGACCUAAGUUUUCGGGAAGUACUUCACAAAAACAGGGUCACUCUGAAGUCGCUCUUUGCCUCUACUUUUGCCAUCUGUAAAACGGGCGGGGUGGUAACAGUGCUUACCUCCCAGACCCAGCCUGCUGACAGCCAAGUGGCCUGGGACGGGGUAGGCCACAGUGAAGGUGGGCUGAAGCUGCCACGGUCCUUGUUGCUAGUAGUUCUAGGAUGAUGACUGUUCCUGAAAUCCAGGGAAUGUUUUUAUUUUAUCGCAGAAGACCCACACAGCUCGGUAUGUAUUAAAUCAGGUCCCGAGAAUCAGGCCCAGCUGAAAGCCUCACCCAGGGCAGCCAGGACUGGCUGGGGCUGGGACCAGAGACCAACAGCACACCAGUUCUUGGGCCACAUCCAAAGCCAGCCAGGCAGCAGAGACAGGAGGUUUGCUGAAUGGACGUUAUCUGCUACCAUCAUUUCUCAGCAAUGGUAUCCAAGAGCCGGACGAAACCAUUUUUCACUGCUUUGUAGAAGAAAGGGUGGUUCUAACUCUGAACCCAACUGGGCGUUUCAAACCCGUAAGCCCCCCAGAAAAUCUGAUGUCAGCUGCCUUCUUGCUCUUCUUCCUGGUAUUUCAAGUCACGUGGUACCUACCUGUUGCCUGAACUGGGCACCACGGCGGUUACAGUUAAGAGGACUUAGGUCAGGUCUGGCUCUGUGCAUGCUCCUUGGGGGCAGAUAAUGGUCUGACAUUCAGACUCUUGGUGAGGUUUUGGGUCCCCAAGACGAGGACAGAAGCGCUUGGGCUCCAAAGUCAGGCUACCUGGCUCCUGGUCCUGGUCCUGGCCCUGCCACUCACGAGCUAUGUGACCUUAGGCAGAUUACUUAACUUCCCUGAGCUUCCAUUCCUCCUCUGUGAAUUAGCGCCAAUCAGUCCUAUCUUUGAAAAACUGGGAGGACUCGAAGGGACCACUCACUGCUGGCCUGGAACACAGAAGACCCACUUCCCUCCCCAGAGCUUCCUCAAGGACUGAACCUAGAGCCGUGUUGUGCUUUCCACCUGCUAGAUGCAUCAUGUGUCUAUCAGGAAAUGUGGGAGUGUGAACAGGCCCCAAGAGGACCCAGAAGAAAGGAGCAAGACUGAACUGAAUUAGCCUAGGGCCUGGGGAGGCUGGCUUUUUGUGAAGGAGGAAAAAGGGGCAUCGCUGCUGUGCACUUGACCUUUCAGGAACUUUCAAGAACCUUCCAGAGGCCUCAGGGGAGAGUCUGAACUCUUGCUUGAGGAAAACAAGAGAAAGCUCAGAGAAUGAAUGGCCAAAGGAGUGGGCCAGUGAAUCAUUGAAGACAUGCGUCACUGAGGAUGGGCAGGGUCUAUGUGGAAGACACAACAAGGUUUGGGGCCUUAUGUGAGGACUGACCAGGAUCAAUGGUGCUCAGCUCAGAGGUUCACCAUAAACAAGGAAGACCCAGUCCUUGCCCUUGGGAACUUGGGACUCAGGUACCAAUUCAGUAGUCUGUUCUUGGUGAGUGUCAGCAUUACCUGGGGAUCUAACACAAAUACAGCAGACCAAGACUCCCAUUUCUGGAAAGAUGGAGUAGAUGUUCUUUCUUUCUAUUCUACCCUCUGAGUACAACUAAAAGCCUUGAACAUCACAUAUAUAACUAACAUAAGAGGACUCCGAAGAAUGGAGAGAAGAAGGUCAGCUGGCUGGGGGAACUUGGGACCCGAGGAACCAGAGAGUGGUGAAUUGGCCAAGUGCCUUUUUUUCUUUUGCUUCAUAUAUACCAGAUUUGGACCAAAAGAGUCAACAACCCAGAAACCCCAAUGGACACAAACAAACAAAAAAUUGUCCCAACCAAAGCCUGCUCACUCUAACCACAAGACCAGGAAAGGGGCAGCCUAGCAAGACAGAAAACCUUUUUUUUUUUUGAACUAUGGCGAAAUAUACAUAACCAAAAAUAUAGCACCUUAACCAUGUUUACAGUUGGGUGGUCUCAAGCACAUUCACAGUGUUGUGCAAGCACCACCACCAUCCUCCUCCGGAGCUCUUUUCAUCUUGCAAAAUUGGAACUCUGUCCCUAUUAAACAGCUCCUCAUUCCUGCUGCCCUCAGCCCUGGCAACUACCAUUCCAUGUUCUGUCUCUCCGAAUUUGACUACUUUAGGUACCUCACAUAAAUGGAAUCCCACAGUA